rnacentral:ncRNA from 1 species
UUUCCCCCAGGAUAGCUGGAACUUAUUUUGAGCAGUUAUAUACGGUAAAGCGAAUGAUUAGAGGAAUUGGGGACGAAACGACCUCAACCUAUUCUCAAACUUUCAAUGUGUAUGACGUCUCGCUUGCUUGAAAGAAUUGUGAAGCGUUUAGACAUUGAAUGUGAGUUCCAAGUGGGCCAUUUUUGGUAAGCAGAACUGGCGCUGUGGGAUGAACCA